GCUGAGGGGACCAAGUGGGGCACGGUCUGAGGGUCUGGCUUGUUUAGAACACAUCAAGAAAUGGCUGGGGCUCUGGGUUUGCUUUUUUAACAGGCCUGUGUCAGAGUACACAUCAGUCCACUGAGAUGAGCCACCCCUAUUUUAGGCAGAAUUAUUAUUGCA
rnacentral:lncRNA from 12 species